rnacentral:pre_miRNA from 2 species
AAUUUCAACUGAAAAAAAUCAUCAACAACAAAGUUGUAUAACUCAUCAAAAUCUAUAACUUUUAUUUUGGUCAUUUCUUCAUCCAACAAAGUGAUAGUAACAUUGUUCAUAAAAUUUAUAUAUAUCUCAUUUGGUUUUGUAAACUAUAAGAUAGAUAUGUAAAGUUUGUGAACAAUGUUACUAUCACUUUGUCGGAUGAAGAAAUGGCCAAAAAAAAGUUGUAUGUCUUGAUGAGUUCUAUAACUAUUAUUAUGUUCAUGACUUUUUCAGCUGAAAUU